GCAAGCCAGCAGGCAACCUGCUCCAGUUACUUUGCAUGCUGUGGAAGCUUUGUUCUUUUGCUGUUCACAAAAAAUCUUACUGCUGCUCACUCUUUGGGUCUGUGCUACCUUUAAGAGCUGUAACACUCACCACAAAGUUCCGCAGCUUCAUUCUUGGGGUCAGUGAGACCAAGAAUCCACCAGAAGGAACCAACUCUGGACACAGUAGGACGUGGGCCUGGAGCUGCUGGGGCCAUUUCUGCCACCUUGUAGGGACAGCCAGUUCGAGGAUGAAGUCAACAGAGAACGGAAGAUUCUACAUAUCUAAGAUCAAAACUAGAACCUUAGAGAUAAUCUAGCCCCAAAUAUUCAUCUCAGAGAUGGAGAAACAACCUCAAAGAAGAAAAGCAGCUUAUCCAAGAUCAUACAGCAGUGCUGGAGCCUACACCACGUGACAAGGUGCAGCGUUUCAGUGACACAUCAUACUGGACAAGAGAAAAGCACAGUGGUAUAGUGGGAGGACCUGGAACUGAUGUCCUUUAAUGCCAAAUGUGGGGAGCAUCUAUUAUUGUCCCAACCCUGUCCAAGGAAGUGCUACUGUUCACCAUGGUUGCCAUUUACUGGGCACUCACUGUGUACCAGGCACUUUCCUGGGUGUUUGCGCUUGUUAUUUCAUUGCAUCCUCAUGACAGUUCUCUGAUGUAGGCAUUGUUACUUUCUCCUCUUUAAAGAUGAAGAUGAGGAAACUGUGGUAUAGCAAGGUUAAGGAGAUCACCCAACAUCACACAGAUAGCAGACAGUGGAGCCAGAAUUCAAACCCAGGACAUCAGGCUCCAGAGCCCAUGCUCCUCCCUCCCCGGUACACUGUAGAGAAUUCAGAGGUGAAGCAGUUCCCUGGACACCUGAGGCUGCACAAGGCAAGGGAAAGGCUACUGUGGACACUCAGUCAUCUACCCCAGAUGUCCCACUUGGAAGUAAGGACAGAAUCCCCAGAACGCUCAUUUUAGAACACAUGCUGUUAGGAAAUAACAUGUAGAAUCAUUGGCUUUAGAACUUGGAUUUUAGAACAUGAGAUAAAUUGUGGUGAGAUGAAAGGAACAGUUAUCAUCUUCACACCAGAGGCAAAAGUUUAUCUUAGGGAGAGAACCAUGUUUGUUUAAGAAAAAAAGUAGUAAAUUGCUUGAUUGAGGGAGGUAAAACCUUAAGAACAUGAGUGGGAAAGAGAGGAAGACACAAAAAUAAGCUAAACUAGUGCACGGGAAAAGGAUGAUCAGAUAUUUGAGUGUUGGGCAGAGAAGAGAGGAGAGAAGAAACAAAGGGGAACCCUGGAGCCCCACGGCAGAUGUCACAGAUUGGCUUGCUCACCUCUGUCUUAGUCUCCUGGAGGCAGUGAGGCCCUGCAGCUAGCACCUGGGAUAACAGCAUCCAUCUAAUCUCCAGGUCAUAGCAGAAACAAUGCAGUUCUUGGAAACAGCAGUUGGGUCCCCCAGCUUUCUGAUUAUGGUGGAGGGAGCAGCUUCUCUGGCAAGCAAGUUUGGCAGUGACAUUCUGGGACUCUUUCCUCGAAGCUGAGCCUGCAGCCUCCUC